rnacentral:tRNA from 1 species
UUUUAAAUAGCUUAAAUUUAAUAAAGCCUAAUAUUGAAAAUAUUAAAAUGAUAAAUUUUAUCUUUAAAAA